rnacentral:tRNA from 2 species
GUGCCCGUAGCUCAAUUGGAUAGAGCACCUGACUACGAAUCAGGAGGUUGGGAGUUCGAGUCUCUCCGGGCGCGCCA